CAAAAAGGCAAAGUUAGGUAGCUCUGAAAAACAGCUGUGGGACUUCCUUAGAGGCACAGCUCCCUCCUGUGGACAAUGAGCUGCACGGAAUCCAGAAGCUCCUUCCAAAGACUUUGCUAGAAGAC